UACGGGGGGGGCAAGCGUUGUUCGGAAUUACUGGGCGUAAAGGGCUCGUAGGCGGCCAACUAAGUCGGAUGUGAAAUCCCCAGGCUUAACCUGGGAACUGCAUCCGAUACUGGAUGGCUUGAAUCCGGGAGAGGGAUGCAGAAUUCCAGGUGUAGCGGUGAAAUGCGUAGAUAUCUGGAGGAACACCGGUGGCGAAGGCGGCAUCCUGGACCAAUAUUGACGCUGAGGAGCGAAAGCUAGGGGAGCAAACGGG
rnacentral:rRNA from 1 species